AAUGAAUGCCCUAAGAUGAUUGGUACAUAUUCAUCUGCCUCAAAAUCAAGAACAAUAAAGUCAGCAGGUAUAAUGAAUUUACCAAUCUUUAUAAGGACAUCCUUAAUUAUUUCAUUUGGAUGUGUGAAUGACCCAUCUGUCAACUAUAAAACCAUGGUGGUCGGUUUCGGCUCUCCCAAGCCCAAUAUUUUAAACAAUGAUAGGGGUAUCAAGUUGAUGCUUGCCCCUAAAUCACUCAAAUCAUGGACU
rnacentral:lncRNA from 1 species